CUUUCACCUUCAUAUGCCUAAACUGCACUGGCCAAGGGACUGGGAUUUGUUUGGCAUGCCAUGAGCACCCAUUAGAAUACUCUGCUGGGAGUCUGUGAAGAGAAUCUUAAAUCCUCCCUCUGCCUCCAGGUUGGGUUGUAGGGAGAUUGUUGUGUUGGUACAAGGACAUGUUCACUGUAGUUGCAGGAGAAGAGAACAGUCAUCCCUCAGGCUGCAGUUCCGAGUCCUCUCUUCCAGGAGCAGAAGAAUUGAGCUGCUAACAGGAGCCAGUCAAAUUCAAUUCAACAGAACAACCACAGUAGUGAAUUUGAUUGCAAGAUGAGAUACCGUGAAGGCAGGGAAAGCAGGGAUGCAUGAUCUUGUGGCUUUAACUUGCCAAAGCACCACAACACCACUCUGAAGACAUCAGAAGAUAGAAUUUGAAGGCCAAUGGGGAGAUACAUGAAGCAGCAUGACAAAGAAUACUUGAAGAUGGCCAUCUUGAAGCAGGAAACUGCCUUUCGACAACAGGUGCAUGAACUCCACCGUCUAUACCAAGUUCAGCAUCUGCUGAUGAGAGAAAUGAAGAACACCAACAAGAAGAUCCAACUGGACGAACAUUGCAGGGCACUUGAUCUGGAGCUGCCGGCAGAACAAUUCAGUGGAAAGCAACAUAGAAAUGUGGUGUUGGAGACUUACCAGGAAAGCGACUUACAGCUGACGCUUGCAACCGGAAGCAGCACCCGACGAAAAGAAACAUCAACUGCUUCAGAUUGUGGAUCUAGUUUUUCUUCAUCUUCAACACAGUCUGGAGCUACAAAACAAAACGGCAACAGAUCAGGACUGUUCCAGGUUCCUGAGAUUGAUAUGAGGUUCAAUCAUGAUAGGCAUAGUGGAUUCAAGAUUGAGGAACAAAUGAGACAGGAUGGUGUAAAGCAGCGUACUUGGUUUUCUCAAUGUUUGGGCAUGAACAUGACAUGAUUGCUUUAUGCAAAGCAAUGAGAUAUCAUUUGUGGUUGUCAGAGACAACCAAUUUAGAUGGGAAACUGCCCUGUAGAGUUGAAGAUGGUGAGCAGUGAAUCUGUAUAAGCAGAAAAGACAAUAAGCUAGAAUUAACAGAGGAGAGAUGCACGUUAUAAUUGGAACUAGAAGGCCUUAGCAGCUUAAACUAUUAUCAAUGCUAGAAGUACAUUCUCUAAAUGAUGUACUAAGUUGUUUAUUGGAUGAUGUAAAACCUAUCGAUCUCUCAAUCACCAGCAACUUUCAAAUGACAAACUAUUCUGAAGAAGCA